rnacentral:lncRNA from 10 species
CACCCCAACUGUGCUACUUUUUUAUAAAAAAUUUUUAAUACAAACUGUUUUCCUCACUCCCUCCUUUUUGAAACACCAGCUUCACUUGGCAUCGGUGGAGAGGGACGCGUGUUUUGAUGGGGAUGUUGUGCAGCCUCUCAGGGAGAAUUAGGUGCCAGGCCCCUUCCCUUCAUAGCCCUCUGUGUCUGCUGACCGUCACCCCAUGGCAUCCCAGAGACCGACGGGGACGAGCACAGUGUCCACUCCAGGGGUUGGGACCCUCCUGGGGGCAGCUCUUUGCUUCUCUGCAGCCUGGGCCUCUGCCGGGCGUGGCACAAAAAUCCGUUUCCUUCUUCUCCGGUUCCACUGGAGCUGCCUCCCUCACAGCAGACAUCCUCGCGCUUGGGACUGUUUGUGCUGAGUCAGGCUCUGGUCAGAGACAGAAGGAACCUGGUGAGCUCCCUAGAUAAUGACGUUUAUUUUUAAUAGUGAUGUUAUUAUUUGUGGUUGAAAUUUUACAGCAUGGCAAUUUCUGAUCUCCGCUCUAAAGAGAAUAUCUACCUCUGUGGGUUAUUUUCCACUGGGAUAUUUGGAAUUUGCUUGUGCUGUAAUUUAUCAACUCCUGAAACUUUAGCCUAAAACAUUUUGUAUGAGGUUUCGAAAGGAUGCUUAGAAACCUGAGAAAAAUAUAAAACACUCUCAGACAGAUCCACACGUCAAGCAUGAGGCCUUUUUCUAAAAUACUCAGUGUUUGUUGAGGGAGUGAAUGGAGGUCCCCAAGGCUUCAUUAAUUCUGAUGUGGACCCCUGAGCUCUCCUUGUCCUCUGGGCUCACGACUCCCUCCUUCUUCUGAGGCAAAUGGGGAGGUUUGAGAACAAACAAACACUGGAAUUAAGCCUGGUUUAUAGGACUCGUGGGGAGGGAGGGGAGUGCCAGCUACAGAGUCAGGGACCCCGUCUGGGGUUCCCAAGACUCAGGGCAGGUGUCUGGCAGCAGGUAGCCGCUCACACCUGCCUCCGGCCGGGGGCAUGUUUAACUCCUCACGUGCUCGUCUUCUCCUCUGAUCAGAAAGAUCCCUCAUCCCUGGCCCCCACAACCCCCCACAACUCCCUCCGUUUUGCAUGUGAGAUCCCUCAUAGGUGGGAGCAGGUCGUAGGAAGAGUGGAGGAGGUACAGGACAGCAGACGCGGUGAGGACUCUUGGACCUGGGGGUCCUGCUACCUGGCCUGUCACCGUCUGUGGCCCACCAGUCCCUUUAGGGCAGCAGCAACGCCCAGAGGAGCCUCUGGCUUAACCAGCAGGUAUCAGACAACACAAGGAAAAGACGGUAUCUCAAGUUCCAAACUAAAAUAGAC